rnacentral:rRNA from 1 species
UACGGAGGGGGCUAGCGUUGUUCGGAAUUACUGGGCGUAAAGCGCGCGUAGGCGGCUUUGUAAGUUAGAGGUGAAAGCCCGGAGCUCAACUUCGGAAUUGCCUUUAAGACUGCAUCGCUUGAAUCAUGGAGAGGUCAGUGGAAUUCCGAGUGUAGAGGUGAAAUUCGUAGAUAUUCGGAAGAACACCAGUGGCGAAGGCGACUGACUGGACAUGUAUUGACGCUGAGGCGCGAAAGUGUGGGGAGCGAACCGG